UAGGCCAAAGUCCGCUGGUUUGGAUAACUAGUUGUUAAUUAGUAUUGUUCGCGGGAUCAAGGCCCGUUGGUCUAG
rnacentral:tRNA from 1 species